rnacentral:rRNA from 1 species
CUCGAAAGAGAACCGUAACACAGGUGCUGCAUGGCUGUCGUCAGCUCGUGUCGUGAGAUGUUGGGUUAAGUCCCGCAACGAGCGCAACCCUUGUCAUUAGUUGCUACAUUCAGUUGGGCACUCUAAUGAGACUGCCGGUGACAAACCGGAGGAAAGUGGGGAUGACGUCAAGUCCUCAUGGCCCUUAUAGGUGGGGCUACACACGUCAUACAAUGGAUGGUACAAAGGGUCGCCAACCCGCGAGGGGGAGCCAAUCCCAUAAAGCCAUUCGUAGUCCGGAUUGUUCUCUGCAACUCGAGAGCAUGAAGUCGGAAUCGCUAGUAAUCGCAGGUCAGCAUACUGCGGUGAAUACGUUCCCGGGUCUU